GAUUGAACGCUGGCGGCAGGCCUAACACAUGCAAGUCGAACGGUAACAGGAAGAAGCUUGCUUCUUCGCUGACGAGUGGCGGACGGGUGAGUAAUGUCUGGGAAACUGCCUGAUGGAGGGGGAUAACUACUGGAAGCGGUAGCUAAUACCGCAUAACGUCGCAAGACCAAAGAGGGGGACCUUCGGGCCUCUUGCCAUCGGAUGUGCCCAGAUGGGAUUAGCUAGUAGGUGGGGUAACGGCUCACCUAGGCGACGAUCCCUAGCUGGUCUGAGAGGAUGACCAGCCACACUGGAACUGAGACACGGUCCAGACUCCUACGGGAGGCAGCAGUGGGGAAUAUUGCACAAUGGGCGCAAGCCUGAUGCAGCCAUGCCGCGUGUAUGAAGAAGGCCUUCGGGUUGUAAAGUACUUUCAGCGGGGAGGAAGGGAGUAAAGUUAAUACCUUUGCUCAUUGACGUUACCCGCAGAAGAAGCACCGGCUA
rnacentral:rRNA from 1 species